rnacentral:rRNA from 1 species
AGUGAACGCUGGCGGUAGGCCUAACACAUGCAAGUCGAACGGCAGCACAGUAAGAGCUUGCUCUUACGGGUGGCGAGUGGCGGACGGGUGAGGAAUACAUCGGAAUCUACUUUUUCGUGGGGGAUAACGUAGGGAAACUUACGCUAAUACCGCAUACGACCUACGGGUGAAAGCAGGGGAUCUUCGGACCUUGCGCGAUUGAAUGAGCCGAUGUCGGAUUAGCUAGUUGGCAGGGUAAAGGCCCACCAAGGCGACGAUCCGUAGCUGGUCUGAGAGGAUGAUCAGCCACACUGGAACUGAGACACGGUCCAGACUCCUACGGGAGGCAGCAGUGGGGAAUAUUGGACAAUGGGCGCAAGCCUGAUCCAGCCAUACCGCGUGGGUGAAGAAGGCCUUCGGGUUGUAAAGCCCUUUUGUUGGGAAAGAAAGGCAGCAGGUUAAUACCCCGCUGUUCUGACGGUACCCAAAGAAUAAGCACCGGCUAACUUCGUG